UUUCCCCUCACCUCUCCCUUCUCCCACUAUUUCUAAAUGGGCCACACUAUUUUGCUGAAGAUGACCUCCAUAAAACUUGAGAACCUAGUUCACCUAGUUUUUCAACCUUGCCAGCUGAAUUUUCUUUUCCUUAAAGAGAACAACCAGGCCAAAUUCAUCCUGAUGCAUGAACCCUCAUGGAUCCUCAGAGGAAAAAAAAAGGAGCAGAAAAUAUAUAAAAACUGAACCAUAAAGAGGAGGGCUAUGGAAUCUGUUUUCUUCACUACAGGACCACCAGUGCAGUCACGACUUCCCAACACCUGUGAUUCUCAGUGAUUUGGUAUUCUGCCGUUGAGAAUUCGUUUUUUAG